UACGUAGGGCGCAAGCGUUUAUCCGGAAUUAUUGGGCGUAAAGAGCUCGUAGGCGGUUUGUCGCGUCUGCUGUGAAAGGCCGGGGCUCAACUCCGGUUCUGCAGUGGGUACGGGCAGACUAGAGUGCAGUAGGGGAGACUGGAAUUCCUGGUGUAGCGGUGAAAUGCGCAGAUAUCAGGAGGAACACCGAUGGCGAAGGCAGGUCUCUGGGCUGUAACUGACGCUGAGGAGCGAAAGCAUGGGGAGCGAACAGG
rnacentral:rRNA from 1 species